rnacentral:rRNA from 1 species
AUGGAUCAAAUAAAGGAGUUGUAUGAGGGUGACGAAGACUUUGGCCAUGUUUGGGUAAAGCACGCAAGGGGCCAACCAUUAGGUGAUGACUAUUUGAUGCAAGAUGGAUAUCUCUUCAAAAAUGAUCGUUUGUGCAUUCCAAGAAGUUCUCUACAUGACAAGUUGGUUAGAGAGCUCCAUUCAAGUGAUCUUAGUAGCCAUGUUGGACGGGACAAGACUAUCGCUAACCUAGAAGCUCGCUACUUUUGGCCAGAACUAAAGAGAGAUGCUGGAAAGUUUGUUCAACGGUGCCCAAUAUGUCAAGCCUGCAAAGGCCAAGUCCAGAACACAGGGUUAUACAUGCCUUUGCCUGUUCCUGUUGCUCCAUGGGAGGACAUCUCUAUGGACUUCGUCUUGGGCUUGCCAAGAACAAGACCAGGAAGUGAUGCUGUAUUUGUGGUCGUGGAUAGAUUCUCUAAGGGUGUGUUUGCUUUGUAUCAGGGGUGGAAUGUAACGGGUCCAACCCGUCCCUGA